rnacentral:rRNA from 1 species
CAGUCGCCGCGGUAAUACGUAGGUCCCGAGCGUUGUCCGGAUUUAUUGGGCGUAAAGCGAGCGCAGGCGGUUAGAUAAGUCUGAAGUUAAAGGCUGUGGCUUAACCAUAGUAUGCUUUGGAAACUGUUUAACUUGAGUGCAGAAGGGGAGAGUGGAAUUCCAUGUGUAGCGGUGAAAUGCGUAGAUAUAUGGAGGAACACCGGUGGCGAAAGCGGCUCUCUGGUCUGUAACUGACGCUGAGGCUCGAAAGCGUGGGGAGCAAACAGGAUUAGAUACCCCCGUAGUCCCUGUCUCUUAUACA